AGGGGUGUAGCUCAGUGGUAGAGCAUUUGACUGCAGAUCAAGCAGUUCCAUGGUCAAAUCUAGGUGUCCCCU